UUUAUUGUGGGUUUUUUUCCGUUGUGCCUGAUAAAUAGAAAGCCAGUCAGUACUGGGGGUCGAGAAAGCAGUGAAGAAUAAUGACUGCGGCACUUCUACAAAAAAUAGUCCAGCUUCAGCUUUCAGCAGCAAACCUGCCUUCUCUCUUCUGAACCACACUUUAGCUUCCAAAUCGAAAGCACUACACUGUUGUACUUACUGUAGUAUGAUUUCAUUUGCUUAAUAAAUGCUUAUAUUCAAUCAA